GCGCUUGUAGCUCAGUGGAUAGAGCGCCGCCCUGCGGAGGCGGAGGCCGAGGGUUCGAAUCCCUCCAAGCGCA
rnacentral:tRNA from 1 species